rnacentral:lncRNA from 1 species
CUCUGGUCUAGUUAUUUUCUCCCUAUAGACCCUAACUAUAACUCUGGUCUAGUUAUAUUCUCCCUAUAGGCCCUAACUAUAACUCUGGUCCUGGUCUAGUUAUAUUCUCCCUAUAGGCCCUAACUAUAACUCUGGUCUAGUUAUAUCCUCCCUAUAGGCCCUAACUAUAACUCUGGUCCUGGUCUAGUUAUAUCCUCCCUAUAGGCCCUAACUAUACCUCUGGUCUAGUUAUAUUCUCCCUAUAGACCCUAACUAUAACUCUGGUCCUGGUCUAGUUAUAUCCACCCUAUAGGCCCUAACUAUAACACUGGUCUAGUUAUAUUCUCCCUAUUGGCCAUAACUAUAACUCUGGUCUAGUUUUAUUCUCCCUAUAGGCCCUAACUAUAACUCUGGACAUGGUCUAGUUAUAUUCAUCCCAAUAGGCCCUAACUAUAACUCUGGUCUUGGUCAAGUUAUAUUCUCCCUAUAGGCCCUAACUAUAACUCUGGUCCUGGUCUAGUUAUAUUCUCCCUAUAGACCCUAACUAUAACUCUGGUCUAGUUAUAUUCUCCCUAUAGGCCCUAACUAUAACUCUGGUCCUGGUCUAGUUAUAUU